AGUAUUGAGGUGUUUUUGCAUGCCAUUUUUUGGCUGUGGUGGAGGAUGAUUUCCCUUUACUU
rnacentral:tRNA from 1 species